CUUUUGAGGCUAGGGUCAGAAGGUUUAGGGUUUUGGGUAUAAUUUGGGUGAAGAUUUUGUGUGAUUUCGAGUUUUUAUGGAAAAGAUAUGAAUGUUCAAAGAUAAGGUGUCAAUUUCGUACCUACUGUCUUUUCUUUUGGGCAUCACAUACGAAUACAGAGAGCAACGGAAGAUCGGCGACUGGACUUGGAGGGAGCAUUUUCUCAGCUACACAUUCUACUUACUGUAUAGUGAAUUCUUAUAUUAGAUGAAGGAGUUAUGAGGCGUUGAAGACAGCACUUGUAAUUUGAAGGCAGUAAGUAUAUCGUUUUGUUGCUAGUUAUGGGUGAAGCCAUAUCUUGAGUUUCUGGACGAAUUUUUGGCUUAAAAUUUCUACAAGUGUGUGUAAUUGGGUUAAGAGGCUUUAGAUCAAAGUUUCAUAGUAUUUAAAUAAUUACUUUGUGAGAUAUGAAGGAAGUUGUACACGGGUGUAAAAAAGCUAGGGUUUGAAGCUACAGUUAGGGUUUUCAAGAUAUCACAAGAUCCAAGAUGAAUUUACGGUUGAAUUUUGGUGUGAUAGUUGCUAAAGAUAUAUCAGUACUCUAUGUAAAAUUUGGAGUUGUUUAGACGGUUAGAUCGUAAGUUAUGAGCUGUUGAACUUCGGGAAAAAUUCCUCAUAAGGAUAUAUAAGUUUUUU
rnacentral:lncRNA from 1 species